CUACGGGGCGCUGCAGUGAGGAAUAUUGCACAAUGGGGGGAACCCUGAUGCAGCAACGCCGCGUGGAGGAUGACGCAUUUCGGUGUGUAAACUCCUUUUAUAUGUCAAGAAAAUGACGGUAGCAUAUGAAUAAGCACCGGCUAACUCCGUGCCAGCAGCCGCGGUAAUACGGAGGGUGCAAGCGUUACUCGGAAUCACCGGGCGUAAAGGACACGUAGGCGGGUUGGAAAGUCAGGUGUGAAAUCCUACAGCUUAACUGUAGAACUGCACUUGAAACUUCUAAUCUAGAGUAUGGGAGGGGGAGAUGGAAUUAGUGGUGUAGGGGUAAAAUCCGUAGAUAUCACUAGGAAUACCUAAAGCGAAGGCGAUCUCCUGGAACAUUACUGACGCUAAGGCGUGAAAGCGUGGGGAGCAAACAGGAUUAGAUACCCCCGUAGUC
rnacentral:rRNA from 1 species